rnacentral:rRNA from 1 species
AAUUCGAUUAGAGUUUGAUCAUGGCUCAGGAUGAACGCUGGCGGCGUGCUUAACACAUGCAAGUCGAACGAACCUUCGGGUUAGUGGCGGACGGGUGAGUAACGCGUGAGAAUCUGCCCUCAGGAGGGGGAUAACGGUUGGAAACGACCGCUAAUACCCCAUAUGCCGAGAGGUGAAAUGAAUUUCGCCUGAGGAUGAGCUCGCGUCUGAUUAGUUAGUUGGUGGGGUAAUGGCCUACCAAGACAUCGAUCAGUAGCCGGUCUGAGAGGAUGAUCAGCCACACUGGGACUGAGACACGGCCCAGACUCCUACGGGAGGCAGCAGUGGGGAAUUUUCCGCAAUGGGCGAAAGCCUGACGGAGCAACGCCGCGUGAGGGAUGAAGGCCUCUGGGCUGUAAACCUCUUUUAUCAAGGAAGAAGAUCUGACGGUACUUGAUGAAUAAGCCACGGCUAAUUCCGUGCCAGCAGCCGCGGUAAUACGGGAGUGGCAAGCGUUAUCCGGAAUUAUUGGGCGUAAAGCGUCCGCAGGCGGUCUGUCAAGUCUGCUGUUAAAGCGUGGAGCUUAACUCCAUUUCGGCAGUGGAAACUGACAGACUAGAGUGUGGUAGGGGCAGAGGGAAUUCCCGGUGUAGCGGUGAAAUGCGUAGAUAUCGGGAAGAACACCAGUGGCGAAGGCGCUCUGCUAGGCCAUAACUGACGCUCAUGGACGAAAGCCAGGGGAGCGAAAGGGAUUAGAUACCCCUGUAGUCCUGGCCGUAAACGAUGAACACUAGGUGUCGGGGGAAUCGACCCCCUCGGUGUCGUAGCCAACGCGUUAAGUGUUCCGCCUGGGGAGUACGCACGCAAGUGUGAAGCUCAAAGGAAUUGACGGGGGCCCGCACAAGCGGUGGAGUAUGUGGUUUAAUUCGAUGCAACGCGAAGAACCUUACCAGGGUUUGACAUCCUGCGAAUCUCUUGGAAACGAGAGAGUGCCUUCGGGAACGCAGUGACAGGUGGUGCAUGGCUGUCGUCAGCUCGUGUCGUGAGAUGUUGGGUUAAGUCCCGCAACGAGCGCAACCCACGUCGUUAGUUGCCAGCAUUUAGUUGGGCACUCUAGCGAGACCGCCGGUGAUAAACCGGAGGAAGGUGUGGAUGACGUCAAGUCAUCAUGCCCCUUACAUCCUGGGCUACACACGUACUACAAUGCUACGGACAAAGGGCAGCAAACUCGCGAGAGCUAGCAAAUCCCAUAAACCGUGGCUCAGUUCAGAUCGUAGGCUGCAACUCGCCUACGUGAAGGAGGAAUCGCUAGUAAUCGCAGGUCAGCAUACUGCGGUGAAUACGUUCCCGGGCCUUGUAGACA